UGUUUCUGUUCUUAACCUGCUUGAGCCUUGGUUUCCAAAUCUCUAAAAUACGGAUAAUGCUACUUUCAUAGGAUCGUAGUGAAAAUUAAAGAGUAGCUGUUGUUGCCAUUACUGAUCUAGAGACUAUGUGGCAGGAAAUUAUGCAUACAAUCUCUGACAUUAGACUGCCUGGGUUCAAAUCCUAGCUCUGCUUGUAAACUCUAUGACUUUGGGCAAGUUACCUAAAAUAGAGAUGAUAAGAAGAGUACCUACAUCUUAGGACUACUGUGAAGGUUAAGGUUAAUAAACGUGAGGUGUUUGGUAAGUACAAUGCCAUUGUCCAAGUCAGAGGUAUAAUUAGGAUAUUGCCAGUGGGAAUGGAAAGGAGCAAUUAAAUUCAAGCAACAUUGUUGAGAUAAAAUAUGAUGACAAUUGUUCAUGUGUGAAAGAUAAAGGAGGAUUAAAAUAACAGGGUGAUUAUCUUCGAAAUGACUGAGAGAGUGGUGUCGUUAACAAGAACAGACUCAGCAGGAGCACAGGCAGGCCUUGGAGGACAAUUCAUGAGUUUGUUUGGGGGUUAAUAUCGAGUGUACUUACAAGAUAUCCAUGUAGAGCUACUUGGCAAGUGGUCAGGAUUGCAGGACUAGAACUGAAGGACAAGGCAAAGGCUGGAUACCUAGGACCAAGGUGUUUAUGUAGUAACAUCAGUGGUUGAAAUUAUGACCUUAACUAAGACCAUCAAGAAGAGAAUAAAGAAAAAAAAGUUAUGGCAGAAGAUAGAAAUUUUGGGAAGUUUAGAAAAGUCUCCUUUAUAUCUUGUUUUUAAUGUAUACAGUGUUAUUUUUCCAGCUUAUUUCAACAACGCCUGGGUGGCUGGGAACAAUGGCUCAUGCCUGUAAUCCCUGCCAUUUGGGAGGCUGAGGCCAGAGGAUUGCUUGAGGCCAGGAGUUCAAGACCAGCCUGGACAACACAGUGAGAUCCCAUCUCUACAAAAAUGUUUUAAAAAAUUAGCCAGGUUUUGUAGUGCACACCUAUAGUCCCAGCUAUCUGGGAGACUGAGGAGAGAUGAUCGCUUGAGCCCAGGAAGUUAGGACUAGAGUAAGCUGUGAUAUUGCCACUGCACUCCAACCUGGGUGACAGAACAAGAAUGGGGAGCUAAUUUUUAGGAACUUUUCAAGUUAUAAAAGUAACUCUCAUUUACUGUAAACAGUUCAUAAAUAUAGGAUAAUGCAAGAGGAGGAAUAAUAAUGAUUCCAAGCCCCACUAUGAACAUUUAGAUGUAUUUCCUUCCAAAUAACUGUACUUUUUUCUUGCUCAAUAGGAAUUAUACUAUUUAAAUAGCUUGUAUUCUAUUUUUUUUUCACUUAGAAAUAGUAUGAUUCUCCCAUGAGAAUUUUCUCCUGUCUUUAAAGAUUUUAAAGGAGUGAGGAAGCAGGAUAUUUCCCUGACCCCAUUGUGGGACUCGAGACAGGGGUGCCUUGUUUACUCAGCCCGCUGCUCUCAACUCCUCGCAGGAGGAAGCACGCAAGCAAACGAGGUGGGAACUGGAGUGCAUGAGUGCUGGAACCAGCUGACCAAUUCAGUGCCAGCAGGAUCAAACUUCACUCACUCUGACCUGCCUCAUUGCACCCCUUGUGGAAGGGAGCACACAGGAUUUCUCUCACCCCUGUCCCUACCGGUAUCAUGAUGAAUGGUUGCAUAGUGCCCACACACACAUUUCUUAAGACUGAGAAUCAAACAUGUGAUCAAAGAAAACAGAAGAAGAUGGAAUUAAAACUUUGUUGGUUUCUGAUAAUAAAACACACAGGCCAAACUAUGGGAGGAGAUGCAAAUUCCCCUUGAAUUCUGCUUCACCUGCCUGACAAGAUAAAUCUCUCAGCUAGCACAUGUGAUGUGUUUUCCAAAUUAUUUCUCUUUAGUAGAUGCUACAAAAUUGCUCUGACAGCACGGAAGACUGGCUUGUCAAAAGAAGAGGAGAGAAAAUUAUAAUCAAAAUGAAUUCAGAAUCCAAGGAAAUUAUAUUUCUCCAUCUCUCUUUAUCAAUGUUGUAUGGGAUUCAUGUAGCUCAUUUGGUGCAGAAGGGAAGAUGACUGUUUCAAAGAAUGGGACACACCAGUGUUUUUGACUGAAGCAUGAAUUUUCUUCACAACCAAGGAAUGUUUAAUGGAUAGUAAUGUUUUCUCUAUUGAAAUUCCAAUAAAAAUACAAGAAUUUAGAAGAACAUACAAAACAAAAGGAAAUAAAAAACUUCAGAAGAAAAAGCCUUACUUCAAAAGGGACAUUAACAUUUCCUUGUAUUCCUGCCUUUUGCUAUGAGAAGAAUGUUCCUUUAUUAACUGCUGGUCCAAGGAAGAUGAGUGACUCAUGUAGCAGACCUGGUCCCAACCUGCAGUGUGAGGCAAGUCUAACCAAUCCACAGGUGCAGAGUGGGAAAUAAAUGCUUAUUGUUGAAUAACAUUGGGAUUUUGUGCUUGUUUGUUAUGCAGUGUUAUUGUGGCAGUGGCCCCUUUAAUGCAGCGUGUAUUUACCAGUAUUGUUUUAAACUCUUUUUACACAUUAGGUCAUUUAAUCCUCAGAACAACCCUAUGUGGUAAGUACUAGUAUCAUCUCUACAAUGCAGAAAGCUGAGACACAGAAGGUAAUGAACUUGUCUGACGCUCCAUAACAGUAAGUGGUGGAGCAUUGGAAGGCAAGCUGCAGGCCCAGGGCCGGGGUGCUUGUGUGCUGGCCCCCAUCACACACUGCUCAUGCUUCCAUUCCCUCUCAAAAUUCUUACUCACCCGGAGUUCACUUCCCCCAAGUUAACAAGUGCUAAGUUUACCUUCUUUCUCUAAUCCUUUACAUAGUGAUCUACUUAUUUGUUCAUAUACCUUCUAGAAAAUUUGAAGAACAAUGGAGUCAUAUGAAAUGUCAUUUUAUAGGUUAAAACAGUCAAAUAUCACCAGCCUCAUUUGAUUCAAUCUACCCUGCCACACAUUUUUUAAGUAAUAUCUAAAUUUUUUCAUUCUAGGUUAAAUUGUUAUAAAGAUGGUAACUUCAAGAAUAUUGAAAAUUCUGAAUUUUCAAAUAAAAAUCCAUCAUACUGUUAAUGUAUCCAAUGGAACCUAAUACCACAGUUUUUUAAAUUGAGGUACAAUUCACAUAACAUAAAAUUCACCAUUUUAAAGUGUAUGGUUCAGUGGCUUUUAGUACAUUUACAACAUUGUGGAACCAUCACCUCUAUCUAGCUCCAAAACAUUUUCAUCAUCAUCCCAGAAGAAACCCCGUAUCUAUUAAGCAGUCAUUCUCCAUUCCCUUCAUCUCCCAUCCCUUGGCAACUACUAAUCUGCUUUCUGUCUCUGUGGAUUUGCCUAUUCUAGACAUUUCAUAUAAAUGGAAUCAUAUAACAUGUGGGUUUUUGUGACUGGUUUCUUUCACUUAGCAUAAUGUUUUUGAGGUUCAUUCAUGCUAUAGUACCUAUCGAUACUUCAUUUCCUUUAAUGGCUGAAUAACAUUCCUGGUAUAGUUACAGCAAAUUUUGUUUGUCCAUUCAUCAGUUGAUGGGUUGUUUCCACUUUUAUUUAUUAUUAAUAAUGCUGCUAU